rnacentral:rRNA from 1 species
AUGGGAUGCACGGCGUCCACGCGACGUGCGGGGCGGGGCUCGCUCGUGUUCGAGGUCUCAGGGUACGGCGGAGUUAGCCUCGACGUACAAUCAUCGGAAGUAUUCACCGUCGGCGCUUACGACUGGCAGAUUCGUUUCUAUGAGGAAGGAGUGUUUGGGCAUUCCGGAGGCUAUGUGGCGGUCUAUCUCUUUUUAGUCAGCAAGAAGGCCAAGGUGAGGGCAACCUUCGAGCUCAGUUUGGUGGACAUCACUGGAUCAACGCCGCCUCGUACGAUGAGGACGGUCGCCGCAGAAUUCGACUCUGGCGACCGGACGUGCUUCGGCCAUCCCGAGUUCAUGAGGAAGAGCGACCUCGAGGCGUCGCCUUACCUUCGCGGCGGCGAUCGCCUCACAAUUGAGUGUACCAUCACUAUCUGCACGGAAGCGCCCAAAUCAUUUGUUGAGGUGCCGUUGCCGCCAUCCGACAUCACGGAUCACCUCAGGAAGCUGUGGCAAGGGAAAGAGGGCACCGAUGUCACCUUCGAGGUUCAAGGGGAGGCUUUUCCUGCCCACAAGACAGUGCUCGCGAUGCGGUCACCGGUGUUUAAGGCAGAGUUGUACGGUGCCUUGAGGGAAAAUGAUAUGGGUCGCGUUAUCAUCGGCGACAUGCAACCUGCAGUCUUCGAGGCCCUGCUCCAUUUUAUAUACACCGAUUCGUUGCCCACCAUGCAUGAUCUUUACCAAGAUCAAGAUGAGUACAAAGAGAUUAUUGGACAUUUGCUUGUAGCCGCGGAUCGCUAUGCCAUGGAAAGACUGAAGAUCAUAUGUGAAAGCAUCCUUUGCAAGAACAUAGAUUCGAAGACCGUGGUGACUACACUGCCUUUGGCUGAUCAGCAUCACUGCAACAAGUUGACUGAUGCUUGCAUUGAAUUUAUUGCCUCUUUGGGUAAAGUGGAUGAUAUAAUAGCAAGCCAGGGAUAUGAUGAGCUCAAAAGAACCUGUCCUUUGGCUUUACUGGAACUGUGGGAGAAGGCAACUAGGCUGUACAUGAUAUAG